AACCAACUACAAUCCGACGACCUCCAGAAACUCGCGCACCCUUUAAUCCCCAAACUCCAAACCUACCAUGGGAGGCUGUGCGAGCAAACCUAAGGAGUUCGACGGCCCUGCCGACGCUCCUAUAAGCUCUGACACCACUGCUCAGGUACAUAAAUUACACUAAGUACCUUCAAGUUGUAUGAUGUUAUUUCAUUAUAAACUAUUUGUCAUCCAUAUCUCUAACUAAAUGCAGAGCAACACUAACGGAGGUGAGAGUCAGAUUAAGAAACCUGCGGUAGAUGGUUCUGAACCGGAAAAGGAGGCUCAAACGGCUGUUUCUGCAGAAACAGACGCUGGUAAGAGCGUGAAACCAGCGGAGGAUGACGCUAAAGCCGAC
rnacentral:lncRNA from 1 species